rnacentral:rRNA from 2 species
AUAAGCUAUUAAGGGCUAAUGGUGGAUGCCUAGACUGUAAGAGGCGAAGAAGGACGUACUAGACUGCGAAAAGUCACGAGGAGCUGUCAAGAAGCAUUGAUUCGUGAAUAUCCGAAUGGGACAACCCAGUAUAUAGAGAUAUAUAUUACCCAGCAAUGGGGGCUAACGUGGUGAAGUGAAACAUCUCAGUAACCAUAGGAAGAGAAAUCAAAAGAGAUUCCCAAAGUAGCGGCGAGCGAAAUGGGAGCAGGGCAAACCCUAUGCUUGCAUAGGGGGUUGAAGGACCAUAAUAUGAGACUAAAGAUAAUAGUAGAGAUAUCUGGAAAGGUAUAGCAAAGAAGGUGAAACUCCUGUAUACAAAAUUAUCAAUAGCUCUAAUGGUAUCCUGAGUAGGACGGAACACGUGAUAUUUUGUCUGAAUCCGGGGGGACCACCCUCCAACCCUAAAUACUACUUACAGAUCGAUAGUGAACAAGUACCGUGAGGGAAAGGUGAAAAGUACUCCAGCGAGGAGAGUGAAAUAGAACCUGAAACCAUUAGCUUACAAUCAUUCAGAGCCCUAUGUGAAUUUAUUCACAGGGUGAUGGACUGCCUUUUGCAUAAUGAGCCUGCGAGUUGUGGUAUCUGGCAAGGUUAAGUCAAGUACGAAGCCGUAGCGAAAGCGAGUCUUAAAAGGCGAAAUAGUCAGAUGCUGCAGACCCGAAACGAAGUGAUCUAUCCAUGGGCAGGUUGAAGCUGGUGUAAGAGCCAGUGGAGGACCGAACCGAUGGGCGUUGAAAAGCCCCCGGAUGACCUGUGGAUAGGGGUGAAAGGCCAAUCAAACUUCGUGAUAGCUGGUUCUCUCCGAAAUAUAUUUAGGUAUAGCCUCUAGUAGUAGCAUGUAGGGGUAGAGCACUGAAUGGGCUAGGGCUGCUUACCGCGGUACCAAACCCUAUCAAACUUCGAAUACUACAUGUGCAAGCUAGGGAGUCAGGCGUAGGGUGAUAAAAUCCUAUGUCGAGAGGGGAACAACCCAGACUAACAGCUAAGGUCCCAAAGUUACAUCUAAGUGGAAAACGAUGUGGAGUUACUGUGACAACCAGGAGGUUGGCUUAGAAGCAGCCAUCCUUUAAAGAAAGCGUAACAGCUCACUGGUCUAGUGAUUCUGCGCGGAAAAUAUAACGGGGCUAAGAUGUACACCGAAGCUUUAGAUUCAUAAUUUAUUAUGAGUGGUAGGAGAGCGUUCUAUUCAGCGUCGAAGCUGUACCGGUAAGGAGCAGUGGAGCGGAUAGAAGUGAGCAUGCAGGCAUGAGUAGCGAUAAUUAAGGUGAGAAUCCUUAACGCCGAAAACCCAAGGUUUCCUACGCGAUGCUCGUCAUCGUAGGGUUAGUCGGGUCCUAAGUCGAGUCCGAAAGGGGUAGACGAUGGAAAAUUGGUUAAUAUUCCAAUACCAACAAUUAAGCGCGAUGUGGGGACGCAUAGAGUUAAUCGAGCUCACUGAUGGAAUAGUGGGUCGAAGGACGUAGGUUGAUACUUAGGUAAAUCCGGGUAUCACGAGACCGAGAUCUAACAGGCUGAACAAUCUCUUCGGAGAGCGUUUAGAAUCGAUGAUACUGUCGUGCCAAGAAAAGCCACUAAGUAUAUUAAUUGUUGCCCGUACCGCAAACCGACACAGGUAGGUGGGAUGAGUAUUCUAAGGCGCGUGGAAGAACCCUGGUUAAGGAACUCUGCAAACUAGCACCGUAUCUUCGGUAUAAGGUGUGCCUACUUUGGUAUAGAGAUUUACUCUCAAAAGCUAAAGAGGUUGCAACAAAGAGUCCCUCCCGACUGUUUACCAAAAACACAGCACUUUGCUAACACGUAAGUGGAUGUAUAAGGUGUGACGCCUGCCCGGUGCUCGAAGGUUAAUUGAUGAUGUAAGCGUAAGCGAAGCAUUUGAUCGAAGCCCGAGUAAACGGCGGCCGUAACUAUAACGGUCCUAAGGUAGCGAAAUUCCUUGUCGGUUAAAUACCGACCUGCAUGAAUGGCGUAACGAGAUGGGAGCUGUCUCAACCAGGGAUCCAGUGAAAUUGUAGUGGAGGUGAAAAUUCCUCCUACCCGCGGAAAGACGGAAAGACCCCGUGCACCUUUACUACAGCUUGACACUGUAGCUUGGAUAUUCAUGUGCAGGAUAGGUGGGAGGCUUUGAUUACUAGACGCAAGUAGAGUAUGAGCCACCCUUGAGAUACCACCCUUGAAUAUUUGAGUUACUAACUGCGUACAAUAAACUUGUAUCAGGACAAUGUCUGGUGGGUAGUUUGACUGGGGCGGUCGCCUCCUAAAAAGUAACGGAGGCUUACAAAGGUUAGUUCAAGGCGGAUGGAAAUCGCCUGAUGAGUAUAAUGGCAUAAACUAGCUUGACUGUGAGAGAGACAACUCGAGCAGAGACGAAAGUCGGUCAUAGUGAUCCGGUGGUUCUGAGUGGAAGGGCCAUCGCUCAAAGGAUAAAAGGUACGCCGGGGAUAACAGGCUGAUCUCCCCCAAGAGCUCACAUCGACGGGGAGGUUUGGCACCUCGAUGUCGGCUCAUCGCAUCCUGGGGCUGGAGCAGGUCCCAAGGGUAUGGCUGUUCGCCAUUUAAAGCGGUACGCGAGCUGGGUUCAGAACGUCGUGAGACAGUUCGGUCCCUAUCUUCCGUGGGCGUAGGAAAGUUGAGAAGAUUUGUCCCUAGUACGAGAGGACCGGGAUGAACGUACCACUGGUGUACCAAUUGUUCUGCCAAGAGCAUCGUUGGGUAGCUACGUACGGAUGAGAUAAGAGCUGAAAGCAUCUAAGCUCGAAGCCAACUUCAAGAUGAACUUUCCCUGAAGAUCCCAGUAAGACUAACUGGUUGAUAGGCUAGAUGUGUAAGCAUAGAAAUAUGUUUAGCUGACUAGUACUAAUAGAUCGUUCGGCUUAUUAUU